rnacentral:rRNA from 1 species
GCCUGCCGGCCGCGGUAUUCUGACCGUGCGAAGGUAGCAUAAUCAUUAGUCUCUUGAUUAGAGGCUGGUAUGAACGGCUAAACGAGAAAAGAGCUGUCUUUGAAAUUCAUUUCUAAGUGAAAAAGCUUAAAUAAUUCUGAAGGACGAUAAGACCCUAUAGAGCUUUUUUGUUGGGGCGACAAUUUUAGAUCCUUUACGAAAGAUCAAAAGAACAAGUUACCUUAGGGAUAACAGCGUAAUCUUUUCCGAGAGUUCAUAUCGACGAAAAGGUUUGCGACCUCGAUGUUGGAUUAAGAAAUUAUCUAGGUGCAGCCGCUUAGACAAAAGGUCUGUUCGACCUUUAAAUUCUU